rnacentral:rRNA from 1 species
GACGAACGCUGGCGGCGUGCUUAACACAUGCAAGUCGAACGGAAAGGCCCUGCUUUUGUGGGGUGCUCGAGUGGCGAACGGGUGAGUAACACGUGAGUAACCUGCCCUUGACUUUGGGAUAACUUCAGGAAACUGGGGCUAAUACCGGAUAGGAGCUCCUGCUGCAUGGUGGGGGUUGGAAAGUUUCGGCGGUUGGGGAUGGACUCGCGGCUUAUCAGCUUGUUGGUGGGGUAGUGGCUUACCAAGGCUUUGACGGGUAGCCGGCCUGAGAGGGUGACCGGCCACGUUGGGCCUGAGCUACGGCCCAGACUCCUACGGGAGGCAGCAGUGGGGAAUAUUGCACAAUGGGCGGAAGCCUGAUGCAGCAACGCCGCGUGCGGGAUGACGGCCUUCGGGUUGUAAACCGCUUUCGCCUGUGACGAAGCGUGAGUGACGGUAAUGGGUAAAGAAGCACCGGCUAACUACGUG